rnacentral:lncRNA from 1 species
ACAUUUUCUUUGCCUUCUUUGGUGGCCUAAGAUGGCAACAGUAGAAAGACUCUGCUAGUUUUUUGUUUUGGGUCACAUUUGGUAUGAAGAACAGCUCCAUAUCAUCUAAAUAUGAUGUCAACAGUAUUCUUACUUCUCAAAAUUUACUCAUGAGGAUGGACACUACAAUUCAUUUGCUGGUCCUGAGUGGGUCUGGACAAACAUUAGAAAGAGCAAGACCGGAAAAGUACUAUUGUAAUCAUUUUGAUUUAAAAAAGAGGAAUUGGAGUAAGCACUAGAAGUAGAAAUGGAGAAAUACGAAUUCCAGGGAUAUUAGGACACAGCAAUUAACUUUGACAGGUCUGUUUAAUAUAGAAGCCAUAGGAAAGGGAGGAAUCCAGAAAGACUCCCAAGUUUCAGGCUCAAGGUGUGACUAUCUUUUGAAUGGGAAAAAAAUGAUGAAGAAUGCAAAAUAAAAAGUGUUUGUUGAUUUAUUUAUGCAUCCAA